rnacentral:rRNA from 1 species
GUGGGGAAUCUUCCGCAAUGGACGAAAGUCUGGCGGAGCAACGCCGCGUGAGUGAAGAAGGUUUUCGGAUCGUAAAGCUCUUUCGUUAGGGACGAACGUGCUCUUUGUGAAUAAUGAGGAGUAAUGACGGUACCUAAAUAAGAAGCCACGGCUAACUACGUGCCAGCAGCCGCGGUAAUACAUAGGUGGCAAGCGUUGUCCGGAAUUAUUGGGCGUAAAGCGCGCGCAGGCGGGAUAUCAAGUCUGUCUUAAAAGUGCGAGGCUCAACCUCGUGAGGGGACAGAAACUGGUAUUCUUGAGUGUCGGAGAGGAAAGUGGAAUUCCAAGUGUAGCGGUGAAAUGCGUAGAGAUUUGGAAGAACACCAGUGGCGAAGGCGACUUUCUGGACGAUGUCUGACGCUGAGGCGCGAAAGCUAGGGGAGCGAACGGGAUUAGAAACCCCGGUAGUCC